rnacentral:rRNA from 1 species
GAGUUUGAUCGUGGCUCAGAUUGAACGCUGGCGGCAUGCCUUACACAUGCAAGUCGAACGGCAGCAUGAUCUAGCUUGCUAGAUUGAUGGCGAGUGGCGAACGGGUGAGUAAUACAUCGGAACGUGCCCUGUAGUGGGGGAUAACUAGUCGAAAGAUUAGCUAAUACCGCAUACGACCUGAGGGUGAAAAGUGGGGGACCGCAAGGCCUCAUGCUAUAGGAGCGGCCGAUGUCUGAUUAGCUAGUUGGUGGGUAAAGGCCCACCAAGGCGACGAUCAGUGCUGGUCUGAGAGGACGAUCAGCCACACUGGGACUGAGACACGGCCCAGACUCCUAGGAGGCAGCAGUGGGAAUUUUGGACAAUGGGCGAAAGCCUGAUCCAGCAAUGCGCGUGUGUGAAGAAGGCUCGGUGUAGA